rnacentral:misc_RNA from 1 species
AAGAUAAGGUUAGUGUGGAUUUCGGCUGAUUCGCUUUACUCACACACAAACGUUUGGGAGGAAACCAAAACAAAGUGGAGGACGCUAACUUUUAAUCUACCAUCAUCGACCUUAUCGUCGUCCUCUCCAUUGUGAAUCAGGAUGUCUAUUGGUGUGCCCAUCAAGGUGCUGCACGAGGCGGAGGGCCACAUUGUGACGGUGGAGACCAUGCUGGGGGAGGUGUACCGGGGCAAGCUGCUGGAGGCAGAAGACAACAUGAAUGUCCAGAUGGAGGCUUGCACAGUGACUUACCGCAAUGGCCAGACUGCCCGCCUUGAGAACGUCUUCAUCCGAGGCUCAAAAAUUCGCUUCCUCAUUCUGCCAGACAUGCUGAAGAAUGCUCCAAUGUUCAAGAAUAUGACAGGAAGAAAAGGAGGUGCUGCUGGUAGUGGAAAAUCUGCAAUUCUCAGAGCACAAGCGGCACGUGGGCGAGGACGAGGUGGGCGAGGUGGCAGAGGGUGGGGCCCAGGCGGGCCUAUGCGACGUUAAACCCUUCCAUUCUUGUCAUUUUCCCUCCCUCCUUCCCUGGACAGCCAUCCUUCUGUUUCAUCCACUCUGUGCUGUAGAUUCCAAGAGAAUAUCAUUAGCUAGGUAGCUGAGGACUACUUUCACAAGAAGCAUCAAAAGAAAGUUAUCAGUUGAGGUCAGUACCUGUGGUAAUUUGGAGAACCAGCCACUCCGUCAUCAGAAAGAUGUUUUAUUCUACAAUAUAAUGUUUAUGUACCUACCUAUUUCAUAAGAGGCAUUUUAUGAUGAAUACAUUUUUUCUGUAU